CUGCUUUGAGAACACACAGAAUAAAGACUCCAUGUUC
rfam:Dipodomys ordii contig_28505, whole genome shotgun sequence.